GUGAUUAAUGGGAGAUCCCUGCUAAAUGUUCAGCCAACUUCUGAGCCGGCCUACGAGGACAAGAGGACAAUCCUCCCACUUUUCACUUUCCCCUUCCUUCUAUCAGCCAGCUCUGGGGGCAUUUAAAGGACUGGACAGGACAACCAGGAAUGUUGGCUGCAGCCCAGAUGGAGAAAAAUGCAUUCAGACCUGCAUCCACCAACAUGAAGUCAUUCCUGUUUUUUGUUUGAUUUGAACCAAGAUUAAAGAACUGCUUCCUGGUGGAGCUCCGUCUGCGCUUGUUCACUGCAGGUUUGCUGCUGUGUUGGGAUCCUUGUUCUAUAGAUGACCCAGUUUGGACCAAGCUCCAGCUACAGAUGGACCCACAUUUAGACUACUUUGGUUUACAGAGGAGUUCAUGAUCGACUCAGUGAGAACAAGGUGCCCUCAUUGUUUUAUGGUCAAACAUCUCUACUUUGGUUCCAUCUUGGUCUUGUGCUUCAUUCAGAUGCCAAUUUGCAAACUUAAGUCCUGUUUCAAUCUUGUUCUUAGUAAAAGUCUCUCCUUCAUCACUUCCAAACAUGGAAUUAUAGUCUUCCAGAUUGUUUUGUCAUAAACAUUGUCAUUUUACCUACUAACUGAGGCCUGUUGAGUCUGAGAUGGAGCUCCUGGUUUUCUUGUCACUGGAAACCUCUGACCAUGGACCACUGCUGGCAGGUUGUGAAGGAUCAAGGCCCCCACCACACCCUCAAAAAAAGAACAUGUGAAAAAGAUCUAAACUAGACAAAAAAAAAUCAAGAUUAAAGCACAACGAAACCCAGACAACUCAUAAGUCACAGAAUAAAACCAUCUAGAACCAGGGACA